rnacentral:rRNA from 1 species
CACUUUCACUCCUACGGGGAGGCAGCAGUGGGGAAUAUUGGACAAUGGGGGAAACCCUGAUCCAGCCAUGCCGCGUGUGUGAAGAAGGCCUUCGGGUUGUAAAAGCACUUUCAGUGGGGAGGAAAGGUUGAUGGUUAAUACCUAUCAGCUGUGACGUUACCUACAGAAGAAGCACCGGCUAACUCCGUGCCAGCAGCCGCGGUAAUACGGAGGGUGCGAGCGUUAAUCGGAAUUACUGGGCGUAAAGCGCAUGCAGGCGGCCUGUUAAGUCAGAUGUGAAAGCCCGGGGCUUAACCUCGGAAUUGCAUUUGAAACUGGCAGGCUAGAGUCUUGUAGAGGGGGGUAGAAUUUCAGGUGUAGCGGUGAAAUGCGUAGAGAUCUGAAGGAAUACCAGUGGCGAAGGCGGCCCCUGGACAAAGACUGACGCUCAGAUGCGAAAGCGUGGGGAGCAAACAGGAUUAGAUACCCUGGUAG